GCCGGGCACAGUGGGGCAUGCCUGUAAUCCCAGCGGCUCAGGAGGCUGAGGCAGGAGGAUCACAAGUUGAGGCCAGCCUCAGCAACUUAUGGAGGCCCUAAGCAACUCAGGGAGACCCUGUGUCUA
rnacentral:sRNA from 1 species